CAAUCAGGCACUCAGCUGGAGCAGACAGGACGGCUUCCGGGUUUGGUGGGGCCUUUGUCUCUGGCGGCAGCCGGAGCUUCUGGUGUAGUCUUCACUGCUCUGUGUCUUCUGCUCCUAGAGGCCCAGCUUCUGUGGCCUCGUUACCUGCAGGUAUUGGGAGAUCCACAGCUAAGACGCCAGGACCCACUGGAAGCCUAGAAAUGCUCCUGGCCUGGAAUGAAACUUCGCAUAUCUGGGAAUGGGAGACAGGACAGCCUGAAGUUGGAGUGUAGCCUCUCAAGGGAGCAGGUGGAUGCCCUGAGGCUGAGAGGAGUCUCCUGGGGUACUCUUCCUUUGAAAAGCAAACCCUUAGAGAAGUUAAGAUUGUCUUCAAGCAACCCGGGUUCCAUUUCUCGAAGACACAUUGCUGGUCAGCCAAUCAGAUGGUGGUAAUGAGGGAAAAACAAAUAAUUACUGCCACCUGGAUUCUCCAAGAAUUAUGAAAGAGAAAAUAGUAUCCCAAAAGACAAAAAAAAAAAAAAAAAAAAAAUCAAACCUGGCCCCAGUGAGAUGGUGCAGCAACUUGCAAAGUGAAAUGCACCUUGGGGCACUCAAUGGGGCCUAGUACAGUGUCUCUGGAGAGGGUGGUCACUGAGCACUUAAGUGAGCAGGAUGGGGGUGGGAGAAUCUCUCAAGGGAUUGGGUGGCCUGACUUGACAUAUGAGUCAAACACAUCUGUUUUUUAAUGAGCACCGUAGCUCCCUGGGUUUGUCACCUUGAAAAGGUUUGUUCACUUAUUUUGACUACAGUUUUUUAACUGUAACUUGCAUUUUAUUAGUAGGGCUUAAAAGGUAAGAAAAUAUUUACAAAGGGCAUAAAAGAGGUGGGGCUCAGAAGAAAAUAAAUAUCUAAUCCUAUAUUCCAUUCUUAAGAAUACUCAUUUAAGGAAGACUCUGUCUCAAAAACAAAAACAAAACUCAUUUACCUUUUUCUUUCCCAGACCGAGUUUAGAAAUUUUCUCAGGUGUGUGUUUUUGUUUUUGUUUUGUUUUGUUUUGAGACGGAGUUUUGCUCUUGUUGCCCAGGCUGGAGUGCAAUGGCUCAGUAUCAGCUCACUGAAACCUCUGCCUCUGGGUUCAAGUGAUUCUCCUACCUCAGCCUCCCAAGUAGCUGGGAUUACUGGCAUGUGCCACCAUGCACCAGCUAAUUUUUUGUAUUUUUAGUGGAGAUAGCGUUUUUCCAUGUUGGUCAGGCUGGUCUUGAACUCCCUGCCUCAGGUGACCUGCCCGAUCUGCCCGCCUUUGCCUCCCAAAGUGCUGGGAUUACAGGCGUGAGCCACCGCGCCCAGCCAGGUGUGUUUUUUUAAUGACUUGGUGACAUCCAACAGAAUUCCAAGGCUUAGUUUUUAGAGUGCUACAAAGGAAAAAAAUAGGGAAAAUCUCUCUUCCAUUUUGGCUGUAGAAAAUGAAUACAUUUCCAUAAGAAAAUGUGGUAGAUAAUUGGUGAGUUACAUUCAUGAAAACAUCAGUUCCUCUUUUUGCAGGGUACAUUUGUUACAGGGAAUACCUCUGUUCUGUACUCUAUCAUCUUGAUAUGUGAUGUUAAUGCUAAAUUUUAUGAGAGGAAACUUGGUAUCUCCUAGAAGUGCUCCCAUAUGACUAAUUGUUUACUACAUGAUUUUUAAUGGAAAUAAUAACAUAUUGUCUUAAAGGAAUAAAUGCUUUUGUAUUUCUUAUUGAGGUAUGAAAUGU
rnacentral:lncRNA from 1 species